CAUUACAGUAGUCACCCAGGUUGCCGCAAGGCCUCCUGGGUAACCUACCACCCUUUGUUUAUUACACUUUGUUGCUUUGGCAAGCCUGCCCUCGGGCUGCUGGCUCCGGCCGGCGAGCGCUUGCCAGAGGACCUAAACUCUGUUUGUCUAUACUGUCUGAGUACUAUAUAAUAGUUAAAACUUUCAACAACGGAUCUCUUGGUUCUGGCAUCGAUGAAGAACGCAGCGAAAUGCGAUAAGUAAUGUGAAUUGCAGAAUUCAGUGAAUCAUCGAAUCUUUGAACGCACAUUGCGCCCCCUGGUAUUCCGGGGGGCAUGCCUGUCCGAGCGUCAUUACAACCCUCAAGCUCAGCUUGGUAUUGGGCCCCGCCGACCCGGCGGGCCCUAAAGUCAGUGGCGGUGCCGUCCGGCUCCGAGCGUAGUAAUUCUUCUCGCUCUGGAGGUCCGGUCGUGUGCUCGCCAGCAACCCCCAAUUUUUUUCAGGUUGACCUCGGAUCAGGUAGGGAUACCCGCUGAACUU
rnacentral:rRNA from 1 species